CCAGCCAUCAAAGCAUUGUGACUUUUUUUCAGUUAAAUACAUGUUUGUAUAUAUAACAUAUUAGUUUAGCACAGAGCAUGAUAAAUUUCAUCUGCUGGGGGCUAGAGGUCAGGGAAGCUGAUGCUGCAGGUGAUGAAGUCGCCAACAAGGGCCGCACUAACAUUAAGCAGAUGUUUUGGGAGAGCUCACCAGUACAGCGCCCUGAAUCUCAUGUCUGCCCACACUUCCGGUAACUGAAGCUGCCUGCGUAAUGUAAUGAACUCCCAAGAACCCUCUUUGCAUGCUCCUGAUAAAUAAUGAAGAUAUACAAAAUCUAAUUUAAAAAAAGACAACGAAUAAAAAUUUUGAAAGUGCUA
rnacentral:lncRNA from 1 species